rnacentral:rRNA from 1 species
AACGAACGCUGGCGGCAGGCUUAACACAUGCAAGUCGAACGCCCCGCAAGGGGAGUGGCAGACGGGUGAGUAACACGUGGGAACCUUCCUCGUUGUACGGAACAACUCAGGGAAACUUGAGCUAAUACCGUAUACGUCCGAGAGGAGAAAGAUUUAUCGCAAUGAGACGGGCCCGCGUCGGAUUAGCUAGUUGGUGGGGUAACGGCCUACCAAGGCAACGAUCCGUAGCUGAUCUGAGAGGAUGAUCAGCCACACUGGGACUGAGACACGGCCCAGACUCGUACGGGAGGCAGCAGUGGGGAAUCUUGGGCAAUGGGCGCAAGCCUGAUCCAGCCAUGCCGCGUGGGUGAAGAAGGCCUUCGGGUUGUAAAGCUCUUUUGUCAGGGACGAUAAUGACGGUACCUGAAGAAUAAGCCCCGGCAAACUUCGUGCCAGCAGCCGCGGUAA